AGUGAACGCUGGCGGUAGGCCUAACACAUGCAAGUCGAACGGCAGCACAGUAAGAGCUUGCUCUUACGGGUGGCGAGUGGCGGACGGGUGAGGAAUACAUCGGAAUCUACUUUUUCGUGGGGGAUAACGUAGGGAAACUUACGCUAAUACCGCAUACGACCUACGGGUGAAAGCAGGGGAUCUUCGGACCUUGCGCGAUUGAAUGAGCCGAUGUCGGAUUAGCUAGUUGGCGGGGUAAAGGCCCACCAAGGCGACGAUCCGUGGCUGGUCUGAGAGGAUGAUCAGCCACACUGGAACUGAGACACGGUCCAGACUCCUACGGGAGGCAGCAGUGGGGAAUAUUGGACAAUGGGCGCAAGCCUGAUCCAGCCAUGCCGCGUGGGUGAAGAAGGCCUUCGGGUUGUAAAGCCCUUUUGUUGGGAAAGAAAAGCAGCAGGUUAAUACCCCGCUGUUCUGACGGUACCCAAAGAAUAAGCACCGGCUAACUUCGUG
rnacentral:rRNA from 1 species